rnacentral:rRNA from 1 species
AUUGAACGCUGGCGGCAUGCUUUACACAUGCAAGUCGAACGGCAGCGCGGGCUUCGGCCUGGCGGCGAGUGGCGAACGGGUGAGUAAUGCAUCGGAACGUGCCCAGUAGUGGGGGAUAGCCCGGCGAAAGCCGGAUUAAUACCGCAUACGACCUGAGGGUGAAAGCGGGGGACCGAAAGGCCUCGCGCUAUUGGAGCGGCCGAUGUCGGAUUAGCUAGUUGGUGGGGUAAAGGCUUACCAAGGCGACGAUCCGUAGCUGGUCUGAGAGGACGACCAGCCACACUGGGACUGAGACACGGCCCAGACUCCUACGGGAGGCAGCAGUGGGGAAUUUUGGACAAUGGGGGCAACCCUGAUCCAGCCAUGCCGCGUGCGGGAAGAAGGCCUUCGGGUUGUAAACCGCUUUUGUUCGGGAAGAAAUCCUCUGGGCUAAUACCCCGGGGGGAUGACGGUACCGGAAGAAUAAGCACCGGCUAGCUACGUG